AAACUCCUAAUGUUUUUGUUUUGGUUCUCGUACUAACUAAGUAAGUUUCCUAUUCGUCUUUUGCAGGUACUGUUUUGAUAUCGAAUUUAUGAUCCGAUCAUCAUCGCUCCCGACCCCAGCUUCUGAAUUUUCACGCAUUACUACGAUUUGAUUUUCAUAAAUUCUUAAUUCCUAUGUACGCGAUUAAGAUGUGUAUGCCACGGCUCGCCCUUCUGUCUUAUCAUGUUUAACUUGAUGACAAAGUAACACAGACCUGCGACAGGUUUUUGUCUUAUUGUGGAGGAUGCUUUGCUCUGUGGGUGAUGGUUUUUGAUGGAUCGUUGUCUUCUCUGCGCUACCUCUUCAGAUGACGUUCUUGCUGUGUACACGACAUUCAGAUGAGAGAUCGAUGAUCCACAGAUUAUCCCCUACACGAAUCGUGGAGGCACCGGAGGGACUGAUAUGAUAAAGUUUGUGCCUUUAUGUGUGUGUUUUUAUUGCAGAUAUUUUACAAGCUGACAUCAUUGUUCGUGAUUAUGCUGGUUGGAAUUCUUGGUUUGCCUUGAAGGUCUUAGACCAAGUCUCCCAAAGAUAACGAGGAACUAAGGUUCCUGUGUGGGAGAGUGCGUUUGAUUUCUGAGUUCAACUUUCAGGUUACUUUACAUCUAUACACCUUUUUUGCCUAUCGGUUGUUUCAUUUAAUUUUGGCUAGUUGUUGGUCCUCUGUUUCUUGUGUUGUUUUCCAGAUGACGUUCUUCUUGCUGUCAUGUCUCAUUAUAUCUUGAAGGAUUUCUUUGAUCUGUCGUUACUCCCUGUUGCCUGUUUGACAGUCUCCCUUUAUUAUAUAUCCCAUGCAGCAUCAAGAACCUGAAGCCUCUUUGACAGGCUUUGAUGGAAACGCUUCCUCUUAAUACAUCUUUUACUUUCGAUUUUUGUUUCUUCCUCUUAAUACAUCUUUUACUUUCGUUUUUUGUUCUGUUCCUUACGUUUCUUUCUUUGUUUUUGCAGGUGUUUUGGAACGCAAUUAUGAUCUGAUCAUGGCGUAAUUUUCUCCAUGCUGCUAUAUCUUCAGGCACGUUCUCACAGAUUUGUGGAGGAUGCUAUGAUUGAUCGGUGAUGGAUUUGACUGAUCGUUGUCACUCUAAUUCAUGUUGAUUUUUCUUCUAGGAUUGUGGAGGAGGAUGCUUUGAUCGGUUGGUGAUGGUCUUGAACUUUGAUAAUCAUUUUUGUCUUCUCUGCGCUACAUCUUCAGGUAAUCUCUUGGACCUUAUUGUUGUUGUGACCAUUGGCGUUUCUCUCCACAACUAAUCUCAUCUUCAACUCCGACCAAGAAGCAGAUCCGAGAUGGUUUUGAAGAAAAUUGGAAAGUCUCAUAACAUACCUCAACAAGUUCGUGUUCUUCGUAAUCCUCCUGCUUCACCAUCUGUAGAUAUGGUGCAAGCCAGUGUCGUUUUGCAAGUGUGGAUCGGAGGACCUUGCUCUGUCCACAUGACAGCAACUCUCACUCUCUCGGGACAAGCUGCAAGUGGCAACGUUUUUUUUUCUUCUUAUCUGAGUCAUUGCUUGACCUACUUAAGUGUUGUGCAGCAGAUCUUAUGCAUUUGCCAGGAGAGCCCACGAGAGGAUAAUAAGAGUCGGAUGAAUAUAUUUAAAGAGUUAAAAAGAUGUUGGAGGACAACAGUUGUCUCUUGCGUUCAAUCCAAAGGGAUCUGUGCUCGCUGCUGGUGUGGAGGAUGGGACUUUGAAUGGCCUAGCUUGCAUGAAAACGUUGCUUAAUGGUGGUCCACUUUGUCGGGUUUUGGAGCAUUAUUGUAUCGGAUCUGAGGAGUUUAAAUACUGAAAUGCCGGUCGAGAUGUUUGCCUCCUGUAGAUCUUAUGGAGACAAUGCAGGUUCUGAGCCAGCCAAGCAAUGUCCCCUAUCUUGAAGGAGAUUCUGCCACGAUCCAAGGAGAAUUAGAAUUCUUGGAGCUUCGAACUCAAAGCCACGGUUUAUUCUGGAGUAUCUAUCUAUGGUUCAAGAGCCAGCCAAGCAAUGGCCCCUAUCUUGAAGGAGAUUUCGUCCACUAUCCAAGUUUACUAGGACAACAGCUGGAGGCCUCUGAAGAACGAUUGCGAGAAUAUCCU